UCCGGUUGAUCCUGCCGAAGGCUACUGCUAUUGGAGUUCGAUUAAGCCAUGCGAGUCUAAGGGAUCUUCGGAUCCCUGGCGUAAUGCUCAGUAACACGUGGAUAAUCUACCCUCAGGUGGGGCAUAAACCCGGGAAACUGGGGCUAAUUCCCCAUAGAUACAGAUCGCUGGAAUGCUUCUGUAUUCAAAGCUCCGGCGCCUGAGGAUGGGUCUGCGGCCUAUCAGGUUGUAGUCAGGGUCAAGACCUGACUAGCCAGCGACGGGUAUGGGGUGUGAGAGCACUUGCCCAGAGAUGGUUUCUGAGACACGAAACCAGGCCCUACGGGGCGCAGCAGGCGCGAAAACUUCGCAAUGCGGGAAACCGUGACGAGGGAACUCCAAGUGUCUAUGCAUUGCAUAGACUGUUUUUUAGCCUAAAUAGCUAUUAGAGUAAGGGGUGGGCAAGACCGGUGCCAGCCGCCGCGGUAACACCGGCACCCCGAGUGGUAGCCACUAUUAUUGGGCCUAAAGCGUUCGUAGCCGGUUUGGUAAAUUCUUGGGUAAAUCGUACCGCUUAACGGUGCGGAUUCCGGGGACACUACCAGACUUGAGACCGGGGGAGAUCAGAGGUACUUGCGGGGGAGCGGUGAAAUGUUGUAAUCCCGCAGGGACCACCAGUGGCGAAGGCGUCUGAUCAGAACGGCUCUGACGGUGAGGAACGAAACCCUGGGGCGCAAACGGGAUUAGAUACCCCGGUAGUCCAGGGCGUAAACGCUGCUGACUUGGUGUUGGGGAUCCUACGAGGAUGUCCAGUGCUGGCGCGAAGGUAUUAAGUCAGCCGCCUGGGGAGUACGGUCGCAAGACUGAAACUUAAAGGAAUUGGCGGGGGAGCACUGCAACGUGUGGAGCGUGCGGUUUAAUUGGAGUCAACGCCGGG
rnacentral:rRNA from 1 species